CGAACUUCUUUAUCACCGAGUGCUUGCACUCACCGAUAAAGAGUUGAGUGGCGAACGGGUGAGUAACACGUGGGCAACCUGCCCAAAAGAGGGGGAUAACACUUGGAAACAGGUGCUAAUACCGCAUAACCAUAGUUACCGCACGGUAACUAUGUAAAAGGUGGCUAUGCUACCGCUUUUGGAUGGGCCCGCGACGCAUUUGCUAGUUGGUGGGGUAAAGGCUUACCAAGGCAAUGAUGCGUAGCCGAACUGAGAGGUUGAUCGGCCACAUUGGGACUGAGACACGGCCCAAACUCCUACGGGAGGCAGCAGUAGGGAAUCUUCCACAAUGGGCGAAAGCCUGAUGGAGCAACGCCGCGUGGGUGAAGAAGGUCUUCGGAUCGUAAAACCCUGUUGUUAGAGAAGAAAGUGCGUGAGAGUAACUGUUCACGUUUCGACGGUAUCUAACCAGAAAGCCACGGCUAACUACGUGCCAGCAGCCGCGGUAAUACGUAGGUGGCAAGCGUUAUCCGGAUUUAUUGGGCGUAAAGAGAACGCAGGCGGUCUUUUAAGUCUGAUGUGAAAGCCUUCGGCUUAACCGGAGUAGUGCAUUGGAAACUGGGAGACUUGAGUGCAGAAGAGGAGAGUGGAACUCCAUGUGUAGCGGUGAAAUGCGUAGAUAUAUGGAAGAACACCAGUGGCGAAAGCGGCUCUCUGGUCUGUAACUGACGCUGAGGUUCGAAAGCGUGGGUAGCAAACAGGAUUAGAUACCCUGGUAGUCCACGCCGUAAACGAUGAAUGCUAAGUGUU
rnacentral:rRNA from 1 species